rnacentral:tRNA from 1 species
ACCUGGGUGGCUCAGUUGUUCAGCAUCUGACUUCGGCUCAGGUCAUGAUCUCACAGUUUGUGAGUUUGAGUCCCACAUCGGGUG